CUGUUCGCCGAUUAAAGUGGUACGUGAGCUGGGUUCAGACCGUCGUGAGACAGGUCGGUCCCUAUCUGCUGUGGGCGCACGAAACUUGAGGAGAUUCUUCUUUAGUACGAGAGGAUUUGGAAGGACGUUCCUCUGGUGUUCCAGUUGUCAUGCCCGUGGCACGGCUGGAUAGCUAUGAACGGAAAGGAUAAACGCUGAAAGCAUCUAAGCGUGAAGCCCGCUCCAAGAUUAGGUUUCGUAAGCACUUGUGCGAGAGUCCCCUGGAAGACGACCAGGUUGAUAGGCCAGAUGUGUAAGCUCAGUAAUGAGUUCAGCUAACUGGUACUAACGGACGAAUGCUUGACCAC
rnacentral:rRNA from 1 species